AAAGUUUGAAUUUAACCCUAUUUUAUAGUUAUUUUUCUGAAAGCACAAUGGAAAUUAAUGAAGAUCAUAUUCUGUUUUGUGGCCACUGCAAUGUCGGAAUUGGAAAAUUGCCAGAAAUCAUUGCCAAUGAUAUGAUUGCAAAUCAUCCUUGUUUAUCAAACUCAGAAAAUGUCUGACUUUUCAACAAAAAAUAUAUAUUCUGAUGCCAUACCCGAGACCCCUCCAGAUCCAAAAAAUAAUUUUGAAUUGCCCCACCGUUCUAAGAAUUCAGUAGCUAUGACCAGUUCUAAUAGUGUUACUGAAAAAUCAAUAAAUGUUUUCGAGGGAUGGACGGACAAUAUGGUUAAAUUACUAGUCGCUACAUAUAGUAACCAUAAAAGCAAAUUUGAUGGUCCAAAAUUUACCAAAAAAUAAAGGUUUGGAAUUUAAUAAGCCAGGAUUUGAUGGAAAAAAGGAGUCAUUAAAAGUGGUAUCAAAUGUGAUGAAAAGUGGCGUAACCUGAUAAAAACAUAUGACAAAGUAAAGUUACAUUUGAACACUUCAGGAGGGAAUGAGAUUGUAUGGAAAUUUUUUGAUUUACAAAAUAUUUAUUUUAAGGAUCCUUAUUUCGAACCAGUGGCGGUGGCAAGUACUAGUGGAAUCAAGAGGAAGACAGGAGAAAAUACUGAAGCGAGGAACCUAUCACCAGGAGAGAGUAAAAGGCCAAAGAAAUUAAUAUCUUCUCUAGAAAUAGAAAAUAGAAGACAAAAACGACACGAUGAAAAGAUGAGUUUGAAAAGAGAAAUGUUCGAGUGGCUAAAAGAAAAUCACCCGAAAAAAGACUAAUUCUUAUUUGUUUUCAAGUUAUUUAUUCCAAAUGUGGAUUCCAAAGAAUACUUUUUUGUUUUAAAUAUUUUUUGUUGAUUUUGAAUAUUUUUUAUUUACUAUAUUUAUAAUGGUUUUUUAUUUAUGAGAAAUAUAGUUUUUUAUGU